rnacentral:rRNA from 1 species
GAGGGAAUCUUCCACAAUGGACGAAAGUCUGAUGGAGCAACGCCGCGUGAACGAUGAAGGCCUUCGGGUCGUAAAGUUCUGUUGUAAGGGAAGAACAAGUGCCGCAGGCAAUGGCGGCACCUUGACGGUACCUUGCGAGAAAGCCACGGCUAACUACGUGCCAGCAGCCGCGGUAAUACGUAGGUGGCAAGCGUUGUCCGGAAUUAUUGGGCGUAAAGCGCGCGCAGGCGGCCUCUUAAGUCUGAUGUGAAAGCCCCCGGCUCAACCGGGGAGGGCCAUUGGAAACUGGGAGGCUUGAGUAUAGGAGAGAAGAGUGGAAUUCCACGUGUAGCGGUGAAAUGCGUAGAGAUGUGGAGGAACACCAGUGGCGAAGGCGACUCUUUGGCCUAUAACUGACGCUGAGGCGCGAAAGCGUGGGGAGCAAACAGGAUUAGAUACCCUGGUAGUCCACGCCGUAAACGAUGAGUGCUAGGUGUUGGAGGGUUUCCGCCCUUCAGUGCUGAAGCUAACGCAUUAAGCACUCCGCCUGGGGAGUACGGUCGCAAGGCUG